UUUUUUUAGUCUUUGUUGUUGGUGUUGUGAUUGUUGCCAAGUUCAGGGCAUGUGGGAGUUCAACACGUGGAAGGUCUCAGGCCAGGUAUCCAACUCUCACCACAGCAGUGACCCUUCACUGUUAGGCCACCAGGGAACUCCAUUCUUUUAGUCUUAAUGAGGAACCAAAGAUAGAAACAGAGAAAAAAACAAAUACUCUCCAAACAACUCUUUGAUUCUAAAAUGAAAGGUGUCCAAGGGAGGGGAAAAAACCUGGAUGACAUGGGCUAUAAAGGUUUGAAAGUAAAAGGCCCCAGGAGCAGCUCAUAAUUAUUCCACCAAGGAACUGUAUCCACUAAAGACUCCAUUGAGACCUGAGCAUCCCAAAAGUCAUGUCAGUGUGGUUGAAAAGUCAUCAGAACAACAUUUAUCCUUGAACAAAUUUCAUAGUCCUUGCAUUGUGGGAAAGCUUUUCCCAACACAACUGUCCUGUCAUUAUAUAAUUUCCAGCUCAUUUUUUCUUCAUGCCCCACCAAAGAAAAUAACCAAACCAAACCAAACAACCUCACCUAGUCAUACUUAUAAAAUGGUUUCCUCUAACCAGCUUUCCAUUACAAACAUAAAAUAAUGACAGGUAGAACAUUCAUACAUUUUACAGAGUAAAUACUACACAAAAUUAAAUUCAGCAGGAAAACUCAUUUCACAAGAGCACUUUACCUCGAGAUCAAAAUCAGUGACUGUAUCUGAUGUAGGCCAUGUAUCAUCAACAUGAGGUUUGCUGGAAAAACUUUAUGGCAAAGACAUACAAGAAAACUGAGUCAGUUACUUUUUGACAUUUGAUGCAAGUAUAGUUGAUUUACAAUGCUGGGGUCAUUUCUGCUCUGCAAUGUUGUGGUAAUUCUGAUGUACAACAAAAUGAUCCCAUUACACAUAUACACUUAUCCAUUCUUUUUCAGACUCUUUGCCUAUAUAGAUUAACUGAGAAUAUUGGGUAGAGUUGAGUUCAUUUCUUUAAACAAUACCACCAACAAAAUUAAGUUGAGGAUUGGGUCUCUAUGUAUUAAAUAAAGGUCCCUGACAUAAUUAAAAAGUGGCCUCUGUUUUUAACAAGAUUUUUGCUACUUAUGUCUGCUUCCAUCACUCCCGACAUAUCAAAUAUCUAGUAAAGACCCAAUCUUCAUUCCCAUAACAAAGAGUAAAAGUCAAUAUGCCAGCAGACCCUGAGACUAAUGUGUUUGCACCAAACAUCUUAAGAGCGGAACUGAAAAUCCUGUUUACAAGGGGCUUAUCUUUUGUUCGGUUAAACUGGAACACACUUGACCUAAAACAAAGUAGAAAGAUGCACUGUUCCUUCUCCAUUGUCUGUCCCUGGUUCAAAGACUAAUCUGUGUCUGUCAAAAAAAGGCAGUCUUUGUUCUUUAGCAGGGAAAACACUUAUCAAGAAGGCCCCAUUCCUUGCCUUUCCUCUAUUACAGUACAGGGAGUUCCUUGAAAUGUUUGAAAGUGAAAUGUACAAAAGUCAAAGGAGGAGUUCCCACCAUGGCACAGUGCGUUAAGGAUCCAGCAUUGCAGCAGCAGUUGGAUAGGUGACAGCUAUGGCUUGGAUUCAAACCCUGGCUUGGGAACCUCCACAUGUCAAAGGUGUGGCUGAAGAUGAAAGUCAAAGAACAAAUGUAUAUGUUAAAUUCAUAUGCUAAACUAUUCCCAGAGGGGUGCAUAAAUAAAAAUUAUAAAGUCUAAUUAGUAUUCCCAUACAAGACCUGGUUAUUCAGGUCCACAUAAACUAGCCAGGUCUCAAAAAUCCCAUCCAGGCACCCAGAUACCCAAGGAGAGAGAGGGCUGUAAAAACAGAGUCCUGGGAGCUAGGCUUCUGUUGUUUUUUAUGGACUGCUAAAUAUCUCCCUUCCUAUGGGCUGCUCUCCCACAUCACACUUCUGCAGACCUCAGGGUCAGUCGCCCAUUUUUAUGGUUUCAGCCCAUGAAGGCAAUGGUUUCUACAACAAUGAUGGGCUCAGAGAACCAUGAGCAGGAACUCCCUAAUUCCCUGUUCCUAGCCAACGGGUUACUGGAGCCUCUGUCAUCCACUCCCAACACAGGUGUGGAGCAAGCCACCCAACUGAGGUCUAUGACUGAUAUGUAAGAAGAAAAGAGAUUCUGGGAACAAAAGAGAAAAUUUCAGAGAACCAGGCAAGGGUCCUAACCUGAGGGGAAAACCAGACUUGGAGGUCAGCAAGUUGAGACACUGAAUAGAAAUCUGCUCUCUACAGAUGUGGAAUUUAAUUCAAUAACAUGGUCUCUACAUAGAUACUUUCCUCCUCAAAAAAAAAUUCAUCUUAAGGCAAGUCAAUAUCAUUCUACCUAAGAAGACUUGCCUAGUAAGGUCUUGCCUUUGUCAAACCCCAUGGUUCUGUGGCCACAGCUACCUGGGUUCUGCCCUAACACUUUCAUGGUCAAAAUAAGGUACUAGUUGCCACUGUGAC
rnacentral:lncRNA from 1 species